rnacentral:rRNA from 1 species
CAGGUGCUGCAUGGCUGUCGUCAGCUCGUGUCGUGAGAUGUUGGGUUAAGUCCCGCAACGAGCGCAACCCUUGCCUUUAGUUGCCAGCAGUUCGGCUGGGCACUCUAAAGGGACUGCCGGUGUUAAACCGGAGGAAGUGGGGGAUGACGUCAAGUCCUCAUGGCCUUUAUGACCAGGGCUACACACGUACUACAAUGGCCGAUACAAAGGGCAGCGACACUGCGAGGUGAAGCCAAUCCCGUAAAAUCGGUCUCAGUCCGGAUUGGAGUCUGCAACUCGACUCCAUGAAGUUGGAAUCGCUAGUAAUCGUGGAUCAGCAUGCCACGGUGAAUACGUUCCCGGGCCUU